AACAAGGUUAUGAUUUAUGUUUGUUCGUCUGUUUAUUUGUUCACAAAAUUAUAAACAAAUAAACAGACGAACAAACAUAAAUCAUAACCUUGUU